AUGGCCAAAUAUUUCUGGAGCAGCUCUAUUGACAAGAAUGCAUUGCAUUGGGUUUCCUGGAAUAAUCUGGCAACACCAAAGUGCAAAGGAGGAAUGGGGUUUCGGGACCCUCAUCAGUUUAACCUUGCGCUGCUUGGGAAGCACGGUUGGCACUUUAUGACUAGCCCUAAUUCUCUAUGUGCAAGGGUUCUGAAGGGCCGCUACUUCCCUGAUACAGAUUUUAUGCAUGCUUAUGUUCCCAAAUCUGUGUCAGCAACAUGGAGAGCUAUCAUUGCUGGUAGGGAAGCAUUGCAAGCGGGUCUUAUUAAGAGAGUGGGAGAGGGGAACUCCAUUGAUGUGUGGGCCGAUAAGUGGAUUCCCGGGACCAUCUCUAUGACACCAUUGCUGAAGCCACCGAACACUAAUGUUCAGACAGUCUCCGAUCUCAUUGAUCCCAAGAACUGGCCGUGGAGGCAGGAGUUGAUUCGAACAACCUUCAUCACCCCUGAUGCCGACGCCAUUCUAAACAUCCCAAUCAGGAAGGGGGGAGAUGAGGAAUUUUAUGCUUGGGCCUUUGAAAGAUCAGACAACUACACUGUUAAAUCGGCGUAUCGUGCUCUAGUGACUCAGAACGAGCGCAAUGCUCUAGAGGAAGGGGCGGCUACCGGCGCUUCAAGAGAUGACAAACAGAUGUGGAAUGCCCUAUGA
rnacentral:rRNA from 1 species